UUCAUCCCUCCAGGCAGCAGGUGGCAGAAGAGGAGGAUCCACGAUUUUCAACAGGGCUGAAUAUCGGUGUUUCUGAGCUUUAUUGGGCUAAAUGUUGGUGCUUUGAUUUUUUUUUUUUUUUGUGGGGGCUGAAUCUUUAUAUUUUGGAGGGGGAUUGGAUAACUCUUUAUGUUUGGGGAGUUUUUGAUUUGUGCCUUGACAUUUGGAGGGUUUUUGGGCUGAAUCCUUAUAGACACAAGAUGUUCUUAUAGACACAAGAUGCCCAUUGACUUGCUGAGAUGACCUUGGGCAAGGAGGAACCCCCAGCCCAAGACAAUAUUCUCUUGUUUUUUUCCCCAAACCAGGAUUUUUCAUUCCCAAGGCAUACCAGGAUGGAGGAGGAGGAAAAGCCCUGGAGAUUCUGCACAAGGAGGGGCUGCAAACCCAGCCCAGGGAGCAGUGUAGAGGAAAGACCCACCUUGUGAUGGGAAGGUGGACAGAUAUCGAGCUGGAGGAGAAGCUACACAAGUGCCUGGAAUGUUGGAAGGGUUUCAGCCAGAGCUCCAACCUGAUCUGGAGCCAGGUGUUCCAUGCUGGAGAACAGCCCUACAUCUGCUUGGAAUGUCAGAAGAGAUCUGGGUGGACCUCUGCCCUGAGAAAACACCAGCACAUCCACAAUGGGGAGGCCCCAUGAGUGCCCCGAGUGUGGGAAGAGCUUCGUGUGCUGCUCCAGCUCCAUCUCCCAUGGAAGGAUCCACUGGAUGGAUCCACAUGGAAGGAUCAUCCAUUGGAUGAUCCCCAGGGAUCCCUGUUGGGCAGAGCUAUGGGGAUUCCUGUUCCAGGUGACCCCUAUUGGGUUUAGGGAAGGUGUUAGAGAGAUUUCUUGUCCUUGUCCUGCUGUGAUUUGAUUGGUAAUAAAUUCCCCUCCUGUGCCCAGGCUGGGUCUGUUGUGCCCCUGCCGGUGCUCGGGGCGGGAUCUCUCCCGG